UAAUUGAAGAGUUUGAUCAUGGCUCAGAUUGAACGCUGGCGGCAGGCUUAACACAUGCAAGUCGAGCGGUAGCACAGGGGAGCUUGCUCCCUGGGUGACGAGCGGCGGACGGGUGAGUAAUGUCUGGGAAACUGCCUGAUGGAGGGGGAUAACUACUGGAAACGGUAGCUAAUACCGCAUAACGUCGCAAGACCAAAGAGGGGGACCUUCGGGCCUCUUGCCAUCAGAUGUGCCCAGAUGGGAUUAGCUAGUAGGUGGGGUAAUGGCUCACCUAGGCGACGAUCCCUAGCUGGUCUGAGAGGAUGACCAGCCACACUGGAACUGAGACACGGUCCAGACUCCUACGGGAGGCAGCAGUGGGGAAUAUUGCACAAUGGGCGCAAGCCUGAUGCAGCCAUGCCGCGUGUGUGAAGAAGGCCUUCGGGUUGUAAAGCACUUUCAGCGAGGAGGAAGGUGAUGAGCUUAAUACGCUCAUCAAUUGACGUUACUCGCAGAAGAAGCACCGGCUAACUCCGUGCCAGCAGCCGCGGUAAUACGGAGGGUGCAAGCGUUAAUCGGAAUUACUGGGCGUAAAGCGCACGCAGGCGGUUUGUUAAGUCAGAUGUGAAAUCCCCGGGCUCAACCUGGGAACUGCAUUUGAAACUGGCAAGCUAGAGUCUCGUAGAGGGGGGUAGAAUUCCAGGUGUAGCGGUGAAAUGCGUAGAGAUCUGGAGGAAUACCGGUGGCGAAGGCGGCCCCCUGGACGAAGACUGACGCUCAGGUGCGAAAGCGUGGGGAGCAAACAGGAUUAGAUACCCUGGUAGUCCACGCUGUAAACGAUGUCGAUUUGGAGGUUGUGCCCUUGAGGCGUGGCUUCCGGAGCUAACGCGUUAAAUCGACCGCCUGGGGAGUACGGCCGCAAGGUUAAAACUCAAAUGAAUUGACGGGGGCCCGCACAAGCGGUGGAGCAUGUGGUUUAAUUCGAUGCAACGCGAAGAACCUUACCUACUCUUGACAUCCAGAGAACUUUCCAGAGAUGGAUUGGUGCCUUCGGGAACUCUGAGACAGGUGCUGCAUGGCUGUCGUCAGCUCGUGUUGUGAAAUGUUGGGUUAAGUCCCGCAACGAGCGCAACCCUUAUCCUUUGUUGCCAGCGGUUCGGCCGGGAACUCAAAGGAGACUGCCAGUGAUAAACUGGAGGAAGGUGGGGAUGACGUCAAGUCAUCAUGGCCCUUACGAGUAGGGCUACACACGUGCUACAAUGGCAUAUACAAAGAGAAGCGACCUCGCGAGAGCAAGCGGACCUCAUAAAGUAUGUCGUAGUCCGGAUUGGAGUCUGCAACUCGACUCCAUGAAGUCGGAAUCGCUAGUAAUCGUAGAUCAGAAUGCUACGGUGAAUACGUUCCCGGGCCUUGUACACACCGCCCGUCACACCAUGGGAGUGGGUUGCAAAAGAAGUAGGUAGCUUAACCUUCGGGAGGGCGCUUACCACUUUGUGAUUCAUGACUGGGGUGAAGUCGUAACAAGGUAACCGUAGGGGAACCUGCGGUUGGAUCACCUCCUUA
rnacentral:rRNA from 1 species